UACGUAGGGUGCGAGCGUUGUCCGGAAUUAUUGGGCGUAAAGCGCUCGUAGGCGGUCUGUCACGUCGGGAGUGAAAACUCAGGGCUUAACCCUGAGCCUGCGUCCGAUACGGGCAGACUAGAGGUAUGCAGGGGAGAGCGGAAUUCCUGGUGUAGCGGUGAAAUGCGCAGAUAUCAGGAGGAACACCGGUGGCGAAGGCGGUUCUCUGGGCAUUACCUGACGCUGAGGAGCGAAAGUGUGGGGAGCGAACAGG
rnacentral:rRNA from 1 species